AGUCAGUUAAGCGCAAGGAUCACGAUACCGGGUGACGAGUUUUUUUUCGAGGACAUGAGUUUUUAGCAUCAAAAGAUCAACGAAUUUUCACGUGAAAAUUUAACACCAUUCAUAGUAUUGUUGAAAAUUCUACAGGUACGAAACAUAUAAUCAUUUGACGAAACAAUGGUAGUAACAACGGGGGGUACCCGUAAACCGAUUUAUGAGUGGAAUAUAUUCAUUUUUCAUUUUUUUUUUACAAUUUUUU